CAAACGACUCUCGGCAACGGAUAUCUCGGCUCACGCAUCGAUGAAGAACGUAGCAAAAUGCGAUACUUGGUGUGAAUUGCAGAAUCCCGUGAACCAUCGAGUUUUUGAACGCAAGUUGCGCCCGAAGCCAUUUGGUUGAGGGCACGUCUGCCUGGGCGUCACMCA
rnacentral:rRNA from 1 species